rnacentral:rRNA from 1 species
AUGGCGGCUUAUCCGACCAGACGAGACGACCCCUUGGCGGAGAAGAAGAGGAAGUUGGAUGUGUGGAGCGAAGAGGAAGAGGUCUGGUCGCCUGAUCCGUCCUUGGGCCAUGACUACUCGGCCAAGACGGAGCAGGCCAGACGCGAAGAAGAAUCAGCUCCCCGCCCUGUGAAAAUCCCCACGCUCGAUCACUUCAAGCCCCCGACCCGGUUCCACAUUGCUGAGCUCUUCUCCGUCCGUGAAUCCGGAAGCCAGGCCGUCCUCUCGGCCGCCAAAUUCCUUCUAGGGGUUUCAUCCUCCCUUGAUGGUGAGCCGCUGAGACGGUGCUCCGGCUUCUGGGUCGAUUGGGAUGCGGAGAAGAAAACCGGCCUUGUCUUGACAACUGCACGGCUGAUUCGCACAAAGGACGCUCCUUACAGCGUCUGGACAGGCGGCCAAGAGUAUGCCCCUAAUGCUGAUGUCACUGUUCAUUUGCUAAAUGGCACUAGUGCAAAGGGCGAGCUGGUCUACUAUCAGCCCCAUUACGAUAUCGCUUUCUUGAAUGUUGAGGUGGAUCAACCAAUCAAGUUACCAUCUCUUCGUGAAAAAGAUGUAGAAUUUGCUCAAGAGGUUUUUCAGCUAGGAAGAGACAAUUCCUUAAAUCUAAGGAUAACAUAUGCUAGGGCAGAAUAUCUGAAUCCAAACUUGUUUGAGCGGCACCACAACGUGUACUUUUGUUCUCCAGAUGGCCAUGACGAUGAUAAUAAUGAGUAUGACAAUGGGGGGCUAGUUAUUGACUUGAAUGGAAAAGUUGUUGGAAUGGUCAACGACCCUGAGAGAUUUGGGUCUUUUAUACCUUCUUCCAUUUUGCUCAAUUGUUUCGAUUCAUGGAAGAAAUAUCGGUACAUUGGUCGGCCCCAUCUUGGGAUGAGGUUUGAGGCCAUCAAGCUCCUAGAGCCUGCUCAUGUUGACAUGUUAUGUCGUAUGUAUAACAUUGAUGACGGUCUUGUUGUUAGAGAGGUGUCCAAAGGAUCUAAUGCUGAGAAAUGUGGAAUCCAAAAAGGUGAUCUUAUUGAAUGUAUUAAGGGAAAAUGCAUUUCUACCACAGUUCAGUUGGAAAAUCUGUUGAUGAGCAUAUGCAAACACCCUUCAGAUAAUAAAAAUGGCCGUAAUACUGAAGUUCAUAUUUCUGUUGGGUUGUUUCAAACACUCAAAAAAUGCCGAAGGACCGUAGAGUUGACUGCAACUGUAUCAGACCUUGGAGAAGUUAUUGCAAGAGGUACUAGAGUCUCUUGA